rfam:Salmo salar isolate Sally breed double haploid chromosome ssa27, whole genome shotgun sequence.
GCUGAAAUAGCUCAGUUCCGAGACCAUUAGACUGAAGAUCUAAAGGUCCCUGGUUCGAUCCCGGGUUUCGGCA